AACGAACGCUGGCGGCAGGCCUAACACAUGCAAGUCGAGCGCGCCUUCGGGUGAGCGGCGGACGGGUGAGUAACGCGUGGGAAUAUGCCCUUCUCUACGGAAUAGUCCUGGGAAACUGGGGGUAAUACCGUAUACGCCCUCUGGGGGAAAGAUUUAUCGGGGAAGGAUUAGCCCGCGUUGGAUUAGGUAGUUGGUAGGGUAAUGGCCUACCAAGCCGACGAUCCAUAGCUGGCUUGAGAGGAUGAUCAGCCACACUGGGACUGAGACACGGCCCAGACUCCUACGGGAGGGAGCAGUGGGGAAUCUUAGACAAUGGGGGCAACCCUGAUCUAGCCAUGCCGCGUGAGUGAUGAAGGCCUUAGGGUUGUAAAGCUCUUUCAGCUGGGAAGAUAAUGACGGUACCAGCAGAAGAAGCCCCGGCUAACUCCGUG
rnacentral:rRNA from 1 species